UUAAAAACUGUGAUUAGGCGAGUAAUUAUUUAUCCUUCUUCAGAGAGUCGGCGCUUUGGUGCAAGCCGAUGUGGGAAAAUAAUGAAAAACACCUAUGAGUUUUCUGAAAGAACGCAAUAAUUCGUUAUUGUUAUUAGACUCGGACGUGCAGGAGCGUUAAUCCUUUGAGUGAGUUGCAUAUUUUGCGGCUAAUUUAGGUGGUACCACGGAAGCAGUCUUUCGUCCUAUUG
rnacentral:ncRNA from 1 species